CAUCUGAAAUAUAAAGAGUUAACUAAAAUAGACACGGUAUUAUUACAGGACUAUAGUAAACAGUUGCGUCGCUACAGAGAUGAAGCCUUUGACACUCAUUUCGUUUGUCGCUCUCUUUAUGCUGAUUGCAGCAAAACCUGAAGGACAACUCGACUUUGAAAGGAUGCUUCUGAAGAGGACACCACGUCCGGGAUGUAUCAGAUUUCACAGAAUAAAGUGUGCUAGAAAUGAAUUACCUGAAUUACGAAAAAAGACAGUUGAGGACCAGGACGAUCUCUUUAGAAGGCUAGUUAUUCCGAGGGAAAAGAAAUAAUGUUUUGCCAUUGUGCAUGUUGAUAUGUUAAUAAGUUGAUAAGUUAAAUGAUUGUAACAAUAAAAUGCAGAUAAAUAUA